CCAUACGACCGUACCGCAAACCGACACUGGUGCGCGAGAUGAGUAUUCUAAGGCGCUUGAGAGAACUCAGGAGAAGGAACUCGGCAAAUUGACACCGUAACUUCGGAAGAAGGUGUGCCCUAUUAGUGUGUAGUGAACAACGAAGCAUGAAUGGGUUGCAAAAAAUCGGUGGCUGCGACUGUUUAUUAAAAACACAGCACUCUGCAAACACGAAAGUGGACGUAUAGGGUGUGACGCCUGCCCGGUGCUGGAAGAUUAAAUGAUGGGGUGCAAGCUCUUGAUUGAAGUCCCAGUAAACGGCGGCCGUAACAAUAACGGUCCUAAGGUAGCGAAAUUCCUUGUCGGGUAAGUUCCGACCUGCACGAAUGGCGUAACGAUGGCCACACUGUCUCCUCCUGAGACUCAGCGAAGUUGAAAUGUUUGUGAUGAUGCAAUCUCCCCGCGGAAAGACGGAAAGACCCCAUGAACCUUUACUGUAGCUUUGUAUUGGACUUUGAACAGAUCUGUGUAGGAUAGGUGGGAGGCUUUGAAGCAGGGUCGCUAGAUCUUGUGGAGCCAACGUUGAAAUACCACCCUGGUGUGUUUGAGGUUCUAACCUAGGUCCAUUAUCUGGAUCGGGGACAGUGCAUGGUAGGCAGUUUGACUGGGGCGGUCUCCUCCCAAAGCGUAACGGAGGAGUUCGAAGGUACGCUAGUUACGGUCGGACAUCGUGACGAUAGUGCAAUGGCAUAAGCGUGCUUAACUGCGAGACUGACAAGUCGAGCAGAUGCGAAAGCAGGACAUAGUGAUCCGGUGGUUCUGUAUGGAAGGGCCAUCGCUCAACGGAUAAAAGGUACUCUGGGGAUAACAGGCUGAUACCGCCCAAGAGUUCAUAUCGACGGCGGUGUUUGGCACCUCGAUGUCGGCUCAUCUCAUCCUGGGGCUGUAGCCGGUCCCAAGGGUAUGGCUGUUCGCCAUUUAAAGAGGUACGUGAGCUGGGUUUAAAACGUCGUGAGACAGUUUGGUCCCUAUCUUCCGUGGGCGCUGCAGAUUUGAGGAAGCCUGCUCCUAGUACGAGAGGACCGGAGUGGACACACCUCUGGUGUAUCGGUUGUCACGCCAGUGGCAUUGCCGAGUAGCUAAGUGCGGAAGAGAUAACCGCUGAAAGCAUCUAAGCGGGAAACUCGUUUCAAGAUGAGAUCUGCCGGGGCCUUGAGCCCCCUAAAGAGUCGUUCAAGACCAGGACGUUGAUAGGUCAGGUGUGGAAGCCA
rnacentral:rRNA from 1 species